rnacentral:rRNA from 1 species
CGGAGCAAUACCGCGUGAGGGAUGAAUGCCUAUGGGUUGUAAACCUCUUUUUUCAGGGAGGAAUAAAUGACGUGUACCUGAAGAAUAAGCAUCGGCUAACUCCGUGCCAGCAGCCGCGGUAAGACGGAGGAUGCAAGUGUUAUCCGGAAUCACUGGGCGUAAAGCGUCUGUAGGUGGUUUAAUAAGUCAACUGUUAAAUCUUGAGGCUUAACUUCAAAAUCGCAGUCGAAACUAUUAGACUAGAGUAUAGUAGGGGUAAAGGGAAUUUCCAGUGGAGCGGUGAAAUGCGUAGAGAUUGGAAAGAACACCGAUGGCGAAGGCACUUUACUGGGCUAUUACUGACACUCAGAGACGAAAGCUAGGGUAGCAAAUGGGAUUAGAUACCCCAGUAGUC